rnacentral:sRNA from 1 species
CUUCGGACAAAGGAAUCUCCGGUAUACUGAGCCAGUGCGUGAAUGGUGUUCUGCAUCCCGUCAAGUAUGUGAGUCGCAAGUUGUUGCCUCGGGAGCAGAGGUAUUCCAUCAUCGAGAGAGAAGGAUUGGCUAUCGUAUUUGCCAUUA